rnacentral:lncRNA from 1 species
AUCAACAUCGAGAACGGCAAGCCCAACGCCGUCAAGAAUGUGGUGACCGGUGCGGAGGGCCCCGUGCCCGCCACCGCCCGCGACUACAAGGCCCGCGGCCUGCCGUGGGUGGUGGUCGGUGACGAGAACUACGGCGAGGGCAGCAGCCGCGAGCACGCCGCGCUGGAGCCCCGCCACCUGGGCGGCGUGGCCAUCAUCGUGAAGUCGUUCGCGCGCAUCCACGAGACUAACCUGAAGAAGCAGGGUAUGCUGCCCGUGACCUUCGCCAACCCCGCCGACUACGACAAGAUUGACCCCACCGACACCAUCUCCAUCGUGGGCCUGAAGACCUUCGCGCCCGGCGUGCCGCUCAAGGUGGUGGGCAAGAAGAAGGACGGCUCGACCUACGAGUUCCCCGUCAACCACACCUUCAACGACAACCAGAUCAGCUGGUUCAAGGCCGGCUCGGCGCUGAACGCCAUGGCCGCCGCCUUCAAGGCCGGCAAGAUGUAAAGCGCUUUUGGGGAAGCGCCCAUGGUGGGGAAAAGCUUAAUUGGAGG